UCUUGCAAGGAAUCAGACUUGGCUACAUUGAUCCCCUUUUGUACAAAUCCACCUCUGUGCUGUGAUCUAAAACCGUAUUUUUAAACUUUAUACCUUCAGAACAUGUGGACACGGCGGAACCUCUGCUGUGGUCUUAUGGGGCCUUGUGCAUUGCAGAGCAUUCUGGAGCAUUUUCUAGGGCACACACUGUUUGUGCAGAGCAGCGGUUAGGUGUGCUGGACCUCACCAUUGCUCUGCAUUAUUUGACUGUGACCCAGAGCACACCCAGUGCUCUCUUGUGACUGCGGAUUUCAGGGAAAGAUCAGUAGUGGGACUCUUUGCCGUUUUUGCUGCAAGCUUGGGUGAAGAAAGAUGUAACAGAAAAAAGGAAGCCACAUCAGGUUCUACGCACACACACUGGUGCGUACCCAGCUUCCUUCCACAUGGCAGAGCACAGCGGCUGACCACGCCAGGAACUCCUGUUGACAACACCCCUGGAGGACCCCCUGGACCUGGAGAAGACCCUCAGCCGUCAAGGACCCAUGCCCAGAGGCUGCAAUUGGCAGAAGAAGACUGGCAGGGCCCUGCCAGCCACACGCAAGGUGAGGCUGGGAUCUGUCCCUCCCUUGGACCUUUUGGACAUACCUCUCACUGAACUCUUUUAACUGGACUCCACCCAAACCCGUAGGAACCCGUGUACAGUGCUAUAUUCUUUCUACCAUU